ensembl:snoRNA small nucleolar RNA U3
AAGACUAUACUUUCAGGGAUCAUUUCUAUAGUUUCUAACUUGAGAAAUGUGUUUCUUAAGAGUAUGGUCUCGCCUACCACGAUGAUGAGUCGUGAUGUUUCCCUCUGAGCGUGAAGCGGACAGAGAUUAAUGAUUUAUUUCAUAUGAUCUCUGUCAUUGAUGGUCGUUCUUUGCUUCUUUUAGGAGCAAUGAGGAGGGGGCAUGAUCAGAGUGGUU